GACGAACGCUGGCGGCGUGCCUAAUACAUGCAAGUUGAGCGAUGAAGAUUGGUGCUUGCACCAAUUUGAAGAGCAGCGAACGGGUGAGUAACGCGUGGGGAAUCUGCCUUUGAGCGGGGGACAACAUUUGGAAACGAAUGCUAAUACCGCAUAACAACUUUAAACAUAAGUUUUAAGUUUGAAAGAUGCAAUUGCAUCACUCAAAGAUGAUCCCGCGUUGUAUUAGCUAGUUGGUGAGGUAAAGGCUCACCAAGGCGAUGAUACAUAGCCGACCUGAGAGGGUGAUCGGCCACAUUGGGACUGAGACACGGCCCAAACUCCUACGGGAGGCAGCAGUAGGGAAUCUUCGGCAAUGGACGAAAGUCUGACCGAGCAACGCCGCGUGAGUGAAGAAGGUUUUCGGAUCGUAAAACUCUGUUGGUAGAGAAGAACGUUGGUGAGAGUGGAAAGCUCAUCAAGUGACGGUACUACCCAGAAAGGGACGGCUAACUACGUG
rnacentral:rRNA from 1 species